GGGGUUGUGGCUCAGCGGUAGAGCACUCGCCUAGCAUGUGUGAGGCCCUGGGUUCGAUCUGCAGCACCACA
rnacentral:tRNA from 1 species